rnacentral:rRNA from 1 species
AUUGAACGCUGGCGGCAGGCCUAACACAUGCAAGUCGAACGAGUGGCGGACGGGUGAGUAAUGUCUGGGAAACUGCCUGAUGGAGGGGGAUAACUACUGGAACCGGUAGCUAAUACCGCAUACCAUCGGAUGUGCCCAGAUGGGAUUAGCUAGUAGGUGUGGUAAAGGCUCACCUAGGCGACGAUCCCUAGCUGGGCUGAGAGGAUGACCAGCACAACGGGAACGGAGACACGGUCCAGACUCCUACGGGAGGCAGCAGUGGGGAAUAUUGCACAAUGGGCGCAAGCCUGAUGCAGCGAUGGCGCGUGUAUGAAGAAGGCCUUCGGGUUGUAAAGUACUUUCAGCGGGGAGGCGUUACCCGCAGAAGAAGCACCGGCUAACUCCGUGCCAGCCGCCGCGGUAAUUC